rnacentral:rRNA from 1 species
GGAAUCUUCCACAAUGGGCGAAAGCCUGAUGGAGCAACGCCGCGUGUGUGAUGAAGGCUUUCGGGUCGUAAAGCACUGUUGUAUGGGAAGAACAGCUAGAAUAGGGAAUGAUUUUAGUUUGACGGUACCAUACCAGAAAGGGACGGCUAAAUACGUGCCAGCAGCCGCGGUAAUACGUAGGUGGCAAGCGUUAUCCGGAUUUAUUGGGCGGAAAGCGAGCGCAGGCGGUCUUUUAAGUCUAAUGUGAAAGCCUUCGGCUCAACCGAAGAAGUGCAUUGGAAACUGGUUAACUUGAGUGCAGUAGAGGUAAGUGGAACUCCAUGUGUAGCGGUGGAAUGCGUAGAUAUAUGGAAGAACACCAGUGGCGAAGGCGGCUUACUGGACUGUAACUGGCGUUGAGGCUCGAAAGUGUGGGUAGCAAACA